rnacentral:rRNA from 1 species
AGCGAACGCUGGCGGCAGGCCUAACACAUGCAAGUCGAACGGAUCCUUCGGGAUUAGUGGCGGACGGGUGAGUAACACGUGGGAACGUGCCCUUUGGUUCGGAACAACUCAGGGAAACUUGAGCUAAUACCGGAUGUGCCCUUCGGGGGAAAGAUUUAUCGCCAUUGGAGCGGCCCGCGUCUGAUUAGCUAGUUGGUGAGGUAACGGCCCACCAAGGCGACGAUCAGUAGCUGGUCUGAGAGGAUGACCAGCCACACUGGGACUGAGACACGGCCCAGACUCCUACGGGAGGCAGCAGUGGGGAAUCUUGCGCAAUGGGCGAAAGCCUGACGCAGCCAUGCCGCGUGAAUGAUGAAGGUCUUAGGAUUGUAAAAUUCUUUCAGCGGGGACGAUAAUGACGGUACCCGCAGAAGAAGCUCUGGCUAACUUCGUG